GCCCUCUAGAUUCCUUAUCCAUCAAAUUUAAACAUUGGUCUAAGUGGCUAUAAAAGGAGAAAAGGCACAAGUGAAACAGCCUUGGAUUUUUUGUGACACGCAAGUUCAUCUCAAACCAAA
rnacentral:snoRNA from 1 species